rnacentral:rRNA from 1 species
GAUGAACGCUAGCGGCAGGCCUAACACAUGCAAGUCGAGGGGCAGCAUAAAAUAAACUUGUUUAUUUGGUGGCGACCGGCGCACGGGUGCGUAACGCGUAUGCAACCUACCUUAUACUGGGGAAUAGCCCGAAGAAAUUCGGAUUAAUGCCCCAUAGUACUGAGACCUCUCCUGAGGAUUCAGUUAAAGCUUUGGCGGUAUAAGAUGGGCAUGCGUCCAAUUAGCUAGAUGGUGAGGUAACGGCUCACCAUGGCGACGAUUGGUAGGGGGCCUGAGAGGGUAGUCCCCCACACUGGUACUGAGACACGGACCAGACUCCUACGGGAGGCAGCAGUGAGGAAUAUUGGUCAAUGGGCGCAAGCCUGAACCAGCCAUGCCGCGUGAAGGAUGAAGGUUCUAUGGAUUGUAAACUUCUUUUAUUUGGGAAUAAACCUCUUUACGUGUAGAGAGCCGAAGGUACCAAAUGAAUAAGCACCGGCUAACUCCGUGCCAGCCGCCGCAGUAAAAC